rnacentral:rRNA from 1 species
AAGUGGCGCACGGGUGAGUACGCGUGGAUAAUCUGCCCUCUCAGCGGGGAUUAACCCAUCGAAAGGUGGGCUAAUACCCCAUAACACUGUUUUACAACCGUCAAACAGUCAAAGAGAGCCUCUGCUUGCAAGCUUUUACUGAAGGUUGAGUCCGCGUACCAUUAGCUAGUUGGUAGGGUAAUGGCCUACCAAGGCGACGAUGGUUAGCUGGUCUGAGAGGAUGAUCAGCCACUCUGGAACUGAGACACGGUCCAGACUCCUACGGGAGGCAGCAGUGAGGAAUCUUGCGCAAUGGGGGAAACCCUGACGCAGCAACGCCGCGUGAGUGAGGAAGGUCUUCGGGUCGUAAAGCUCUGUCAGCGGGAAGAAAUGCUGGAGGUGAACAGCCGCCAUGCUUGACGGUACCGCCAGAGGAAGCACCGGCUAACUCCGUGCCAGCAGCCGCGGUAAUACGGGGGGUGCAAGCGUUGUUCGGAAUCAUUGGGC